rnacentral:lncRNA from 1 species
GACUCCUCAAAAAGUGAGAAUUGCAUUCUUUUUUGGAAUGGAGAGAGUCCUUAAUUCAAAGUAACCCAUAAACUUUUUUUAAAGUUACCGAUACCUACCAUUAUGGAAGAUAAUAUAAUUAGCUCGGUUUGUAUGUAAAAUUUCCACCUCUGCAUCGAUACAAAUAAACUAGAAUAACCCUCAAAUCCACUUCUGCACAUACCAAUAUAAUAAUUGAAUAUGGAAAAUAAUCGAAUAACUAUAAUACACUAUAUAUGCCUCUAAAGUACACGCUUCUCAUGGUGUUAAAUAAAAAGUAAUAUUCUAAUGCUAUACGCCACUAUCUAGGCCAAGUAAACAUGCAUACAUUUAGGUUUUACAAUUAGUCUAAUGUUUUAUCGAUCAGAAAAAAUAUUCACAUAGGGAGCGAACAGGGAGACAGAUGGGGAGGUAAUUUUUUGUAAGUUUUAUCCAAUUCCACCC